rnacentral:lncRNA from 1 species
AGUUUAACAAUUGCUCAAUCUCAUAAAUAAUUGUAAUUCUGUCACGGAUUUUGGGCAUAAGAUCUUGUUAGGCAAGAAUUGUGUCCAGGCCAUGUUAUAUUUAGAUCAAAGUAAUAUGUGAUUCAUCUGUCAUGCUUUACUGUUUGUUAUGGUUGGUUAUUCAAAGGAUGGAAAUGUAGAUUUGUUAUAGUAGAAUGAUUAGCUGCAAAUGCAUGUAUAAUAAUAUCAGAUGCCAUUGACAACACUGAAAAUUUUGUACGGCAAUUAUGAUAUCACCUUUGCUGCUGAAUUUGGAGAUAAAUGACAUCAAUAUUGUGGUGAGUGUACUGAAAAUUUUGUGCUGCAAUUAUGGCAUCAGUUUUGCUGCUGAAUUUAGGGAUGAACGGCAUCAGUGUUGUGGUUAGCCUACUUGCAAGAAGUCAACAUAUAUGUUUUGUAAAGGUAGUGCUAGAAAUGAACUCUUAAGAGGUUACCAGCAGCAGACAAGGUCCUUGACUACUAGAUUGAUAAGAAUCGCAUCGAAGGCUUAGAAAGGAGGAAGAAAAGAGCAAGGGAAAUGGAUGGAGCAAUGGGAAAAGUGUGUGUGUGUGUGUUUUAAUUUGAAAAGUUGGGGUUACCUCCUACCCUGCCACCUCCUUUUGGGUGGGAUUAGAACUCUAUUCAGUGGUUACCACAGCCUAAUGACUUUGCCAACUACACUAGUUUGCAGCUGCUAUGUUCAUGUGUUGUUUAUUAGUUUGCAUUGGCUGUUGAAAAUAUUACUUCAUUGUGAUAGUUCGUAUGCAUUAUGCAUUCACUUGAUCAGCAAUUAGAUAAGAAUAAACUGUAGACUAAUCAAAAUACUUGCAAUUUCCAUGUUCACCACAUGUUCAUUAUGAUUUGUUGAUAUUGUGAUGUGGCAGAAAUGGCAUCAUUGUUGUGAGGACCCACGUAAGUAUAUAUAUUUUGUUGUGCACUGGGUAGAUCUUAGAUACUUGUACCAGCCAAAAAAAUCCAAUUAAUUUUUUCUAGGUAGCCUUUUGGUUGAAGUACUUGAUUGUUAUAAAUAUAGUAUAGAAUCCUGCUGAGG